UCCACAUUUGUCAUACUAUGGGGACAUAAAUUCAUAAGCUGUGUAUAAGAUCUUUCUAGCAUUGACUACAGUCAUUUCAGGCUAAGAUACUUUUUAGGCUAAAGAUCAGAUAAUUGAGAUAUAGCCCGCUAAAAGAGAAGGUUUUAUAAGAAUUCAUAUAUAAGAACAGUAUCGAUUUCCUGAUGGAUAUUUCUCUGGAAAACAAAAACCUCAUUUAUAUGCAGGCAGAUUAAGCAGUAAAUGAAAGACGAGACACGAGUCUUCCGGCCACCGCUUCCCGUCAGGCUGAGGUGUUCUUCCGAGAGUGAAACUGCUGAGAUUGGGAAGAAUCCCACCCUGGAAUAGGGGGGAUGUAGUCCACGGCCAAGGACACAGAGAGAGUGAUCAGAGAAAACAUCAAGUCUUGCUGCUGUUCUACUCAAGCUGCCCCACCUCCCACCUCUAUUUCCUUCAGACAUGACAGUUAACCGACGGAACACAAAUAUCACACUGCGUCCAGCCCUCCAGCUAAAAGUCUAAAGGAAAAAGACAUAUUGAAGACUCCUCCUCUCAUUGGAUAACAUUUCUCUGUGGAUAAACAAGACGGCUUGACUGUUGCUGUGUAUCCAGGACUGCAUUUAAGUGUCAGGAAGUGUUAAAAUAAUCAGACAACUCGUUCUCCUCAUGCAGCAUAUACAUCUCUGAAAUAAUUUUAAGUAAUGAAAUAUUUUAAAGUAAGCUGGGUUGUUGUAUGAAUGAAACUGGCACCCUUCUCCCUGCUGUAACAGGCGAAUCUAGCAAGCGAGCUGUGGAGGCGUGAAGUCAGUACAAUAAAAU
rnacentral:lncRNA from 1 species